UACGUAGGGCGCGAGCGUUGUCCGGAAUUAUUGGGCGUAAAGAGCUCGUAGGCGGUCUGUCGCGUCGGCUGUGAAAACUCGGGGCUCAACCCCGAGCUUGCAGUCGAUACGGGCAGGCUAGAGUUCGGCAGGGGAGACUGGAAUUCCUGGUGUAGCGGUGAAAUGCGCAGAUAUCAGGAGGAACACCGGUGGCGAAGGCGGGUCUCUGGGCCGAUACUGACGCUGAGGAGCGAAAGCGUGGGGAGCGAACAGG
rnacentral:rRNA from 1 species